AACGGCGAGUGAAGCGGGAAGAGCUCAAGCUUGAAAUCUCCGAUCUUUCGGGUCGGCGAAUUGUAGUCUAGAGAAGUACUGUCAAGACGAAGUCGCUUCGGUAAAGUUGCUUGGAACGGCACGUCGUAGAGGGUGAGAACCCCGUGUGUGCCGGAGCGGCUCGUCGACGAGGUGCUUUCCGAGAGUCGGGUUGCUUGGGAAUGCAGCCCAAAACGGGAGGUAAACUCCUUCUAAAGCUAAAUAUUGGCACGAGACCGAUAGCGAACAAGUACCGUGAGGGAAAGAUGAAAAGCACUUUGAAAAGAAAGUUAAGAGUACGUGAAACCGUUAGUGGGGAAGCGCAUGGGAUUAGCAACGCUCUUCGGAGAUUCAGGUGUCGCUGCGGUGAUCGGYGGGAGGUGCAGAUCCGAAGGACUGUCCUCUUGUCGCUUCGCUGMGGUGUCAUCGCACUUUUCCGGAGAGCGCGUCAACGAGUGUUCGAACCGACUGAUACGUCUCGYGAGAAGGUAGCCGGCYUCGGCUGGUGUUAUAUCUCGMGGUGACCGAGUCGGGUCGGACAGAGGAGUCGCGGUGCGUGCUUCACGGCUGGCCCCCUGUAGUCGCGGGUUCUGCGAGCAUAGUAGACUGCGUGCAGUGUACUUGAACUGUAGGGCUCUCGUGCUGCGGGUGCGGCGCAAACGCACCAAGGUCGUUGGCGGUCAUAUGGUUUCAUGCGACCCGUCUUGAAACACGGACCAAGGAGUCUGACGCGCGUGCAAGUCUUAGGGUGACCGAAACCCUCCGGCGCAAUGAAAGUGAAGCGUAGCCUGGCUGCGCGAGGUGAGAUCCGUCCCGCACUGGUUCGGCGCAUCAUCGACCGACCUAUUCUGCUCUCAGGAAGGUUUGAGUAAGAGCACGUGCGUUGGGACCCGAAAGAUGGUGAACUAUGCUUGAGUAGGGCGAAGCCAGAGGAAACUCUGGUGGAGGCUCGUAGCGAUUCUGACGUGCAAAUCGAUCGUCAAACUUGGGUAUAGGGGCGAAAGACUAAUCGAACCAUCUAGUAGCUGGUUCCCUCCGAAGUUUCCCUUAGGAUAGCUGGAACUCGACUGUACAGUUUCAUCCGGUAAAGCGAAUGAUUAGAGGUCUUGGGGUUGAAACAAUCUCAACCUAUUCUCAAACUUUCAAUGGGUGAGAAGCUCGGCUUGCUUAACUGAAGUCGGGCAACGAAUGAGAGAGUUCUUAGUGGGCCAUUUUUGGUAAGCAGAACUGGCGAUGCGGGAUGAACCGAACGCUCGGUUAAGGCGCCUAAAUCGACGCUCAUCAGACCCCACAAAAGGUGUUGGUUGAUCUAGACAGCAGGACGGUGGCCAUGGAAGUCGGAACCCGCUAAGGAGUGUGUAACAACCCACCUGCCGAAUCAACUAGCCCUGAAAAUGGAUGGCGCUCAAGCGUCGUGCCUAUACCGGGCCGUCGAGGCAAGUGACUACGCUUCGACGAGUAGGAGGGCGUGGGGGUCGUGACGCAGCCUGUGGCGCGAGCCUGGGUGAAACGGCCCCUAGUGCAGAUCUUGGUGGUAGUAGCAAAUAUUCAAAUGAGAACUUUGAAGGCCGAAGUGGAGAAAGGUUCCAUGUGAACAGCAGUUGGACAUGGGUUAGUCGAUCCUAAGUCGCAAGGGAACCCUGUCAGGAUGCGAGGCUUUCGACGCCUCCGUUCGGCGAAAGGGAAUCGGGUUAAUAUUCCCGAACCGGAACGCGGAUAUCGCAUCGGCUCUCUCUCGGGAGGGCCGGUGCGUCUACGGCAACGUAACUGAACCCGAGGACGUCGGCGGUGACCCCGGGAAGAGUUCUCUUUUCUUGUUAACGCACCCAGCGACCAUGGAAUCUGUUUGCCAGGAGAUAUGGUCUCGCGGUCGGUAAAGCUCUACACUUCAUGUAGAGUCCGGUGCGUCGCCUACGGCCCUUGAAAACUCGGGGGAAAGAUUGAUUUUCGCGUCCGUUCGUACUCAUAACCGCAGCAGGUCUCCAAGGUGAGCAGCCUCUGGCCCAUAGAACAAUGUAGGUAAGGGAAGUCGGCAAAAUAGAUCCGUAACUUCGGGAAAAGG
rnacentral:rRNA from 1 species